AAUUUAAGUAACUUGCAGGCAGAGGCCAGCUGGGAACAAUUUAGUUAUUGAUAAGGAUAUUGAUAUAGAUGAAUGAUUCACUGCAAGCUGUCAACAAUUGAUGAGCUUGUUCCCCUCUGUACAAAAUAGUAAGUUUGAAGAUGUCUAAAAAGAAAUGUCUGAUCCUCAAAAAAAUAAUUUUAAGCUAUUGUUAAAAUAAUUGAAUUCGGGAUUUUAUUUAAAAAAUAAUGCGACAUUCGGGUUCUAUGGGUCAAAAGAUAUAAAAACAAAACCUUACUCUAGCAUAGGAGAUACAACACAUACGGAAAGAUAAUACAUACAGCGCCUAGACUAUUACAAAGAUAUUUUUGCUAAUGUAAGUGAAUAGGGGACUGAUGAUAAAAACCCCUGUGAUUUGCGCGCGCAUAAAGUUAUUCCGAGCAUACUGAAACGUAGUACAAUCGAACAAACUAAGUCCAGUUCAGACUUGACAUCGAUCCGAUUAGGUCAACAGUAAAAUUAUAAAUUUAUAAAUAAAAUAAUAAUUUUUUCAUUAAAAUUAUUUCCAAUUUUUAUCUUGAUUAAAUUAAUAAUUAAUUAUUUAUAAUUGAAAGCCUUGAAAUUUUAUUAUUUGUUUUAUUAAUUAAUAUAAUAAUGAAAUCAAACAUAAUAAUUACUAGUGCUAAUAAAAAUUCGAGAAACUUGAAAGAAAUAAUAAGUAAAAAAAUUCUUACGAUCAGUUUGCCAGUUGGACAUCUGGCAAAGUAAAAGUGGCAACGCCGGAAUGUAAUUGUCAGUAAGGAGAGAUUUAAUGAAUC